GGCAACACUGAUCCAGCAAUGCCAUGUGUGUGAAGAAGUCCCUAGGGUUGUAAAGCACUUUAGUUGGGGAGGAAAGCCUCAAGGUUAAUAGCCUUGGGGGAGGACGUUACACAAAGAAUAAGCACCGGCUAACUCCGUGCCAGCAGCCGCGGUAAUACGGGGGGUGCAAGAGUUAAUCGGAAUUACUGGGCGUAAAGGGUCUGUAGGUGGUUUGUUAAGUCAGAUGUGA
rnacentral:rRNA from 1 species